rnacentral:rRNA from 1 species
CCCACGGGGGGCUGCAGUGGGGAAUAUUGGACAAUGGGCGAAAGCCUGAUCCAGCCAUGCCGCGUGUGUGAAGAAGGCCUUCGGGUUGUAAAGCACUUUCAGUGGGGAAGAAAGCCUUGGGGCUAAUACCCUCGAGGAAGGACAUCACCCACAGAAGAAGCACCGGCUAACUCCGUGCCAGCAGCCGCGGUAAUACGGAGGGUGCGAGCGUUAAUCGGAAUUACUGGGCGUAAAGCGCGCGUAGGCGGUCUGAUAAGCCGGUUGUGAAAGCCCCGGGCUCAACCUGGGAACGGCAUCCGGAACUGUCAGGCUAGAGUGCAGGAGAGGAAGGUAGAAUUCCCGGUGUAGCGGUGAAAUGCGUAGAGAUCGGGAGGAAUACCAGUGGCGAAGGCGGCCUUCUGGACUGACACUGACGCUGAGGUGCGAAAGCGUGGGUAGCAAACAGGAUUAGAUACCCCUGUAGUC